CCUACGGGUGGCAGCAGUGGGGAAUAUUGCGCAAUGGGCGAAAGCCUGACGCAGCGACGCCGCGUGAGGGAUGAAGGUCUUCGGAUCGUAUACCUCUGUCAGCAGGGAAGAACGGUCACUGUGCUAAUCAGCAGUGAAUUGACGGUACCUGCAAAGGAAGCACCGGCUAACUCCGUGCCAGCAGCCGCGGUAAUACGGAGGGUGCGAGCGUUAAUCGGAAUUACUGGGCGUAAAGCGCUCGUAGGCGGUAUGUCAAGUCAAUGGUGAAAGCGCCGGGCUCAACGUGGGAACUGCAUUUGAUACUGGCAAACUGGAGUGUGUGAGAGGAAAGUGGAAUUCGAGGUGUAGGAGUGAAAUGCGUAGAUAUCUGGAAGAACAUCAGUGGCGAAGGCGACUAUCUGGCACAUAACUGACGCUGAGGAGCGAAAGCGUGGGUAGCAAACAGGAUUAGAUACCCUUGUAGUC
rnacentral:rRNA from 1 species